GAUGCUUCGGGCAUUCAAUUGGCGCACCCAUAAUGCAAUCAUGGGCUGUUGAUCAACUGUCAUGACAGUUAGGGCCAACUGAAGACCUCCAUCACUGCCAUGACUCAUGUUAGAGCCUGCCAUAGGCAUAAGAAAGCUAUAGUAGUGUGGUGAACCAGGAGAGUUGUGGGGUCUGGGGUGUUGCGGUGAUUGAUUUCAUGGAAGAGACAACACAUGAUGGUGCUGGAGAUUAUGAAAAUCUAUGGAGAGGAAGAGAAAAAUUGUUCCUUGAGGACAAGAAGUGUAAAUCAAGGGUUGCACAUAUGGAAGCAAACUGAAACACUGUAGCAAACCCAAGAGGAGGAAAUAUGCUCAGUCCAAAUCGAUUCCAGAGCUUCAAAACUUGCUAAGGACUUAGAUCCUAUUGUGAAUUGGAAGCUGUCCAUCUUGUCUACCAUACAGAGGGGUUUUGUCUAAACUCUGAAGAGGAUAGCACUGUAGAUUCUCAGCAUGUGGAGAGAUACAUCUGGUGGCUGGUAAAGCAUGGUUUCAUAGCCUUUAGGGAGUAUUACAUAUUUAAGAGAUGGAAGUCAAAUGAGAAUCUCAAAUAAUCUGUUAUAAAUUAACAAAAAAAAUUGACUUCUGGACCCUUUCCAAAACAAUGUCUUCCCCAUUGAACAAUUUUCAACACCAAGAAGAAGUAGUAAGAGUAGUACAUCGUAGAGGAGCAUGCACUUCUACCACCUUGUAUUUUCAAAGAUUUUCUGCUUAAAAAAGAGAGAUAUUUCCAUCAAUGCCCCAUCGUUUAUUCUUCUUCUUCCACUGGUCAGAAAAUCUAUUUUAUAUUUUGAAGAUUUUUAGUUUUAUAUUUUAUGGUAAGGAUCCUCUAAAUCAAAAUAAAGAGCACAAGGGGAUCACAUUUUGCACCCUGUAGCGCAUAAUUGGAAACAGAAAAGACAAUCUCAUGCCUUGUUUGCCUUAGAGGUGUAUGACUAUGACAUUUUUGAAAUUACUUUUGCAGGAACUUUCCUUUAUUAAAAAGGUUGUCUUCUCUAAGAAAACAAAAACAGGGUCGCAUGCCAGUAAGGUGAUUGCCAUUGGUCCAGCUUCUAGAGCUCCAGCAGUCAGGUAGAUAAAUCACCUAGAUACCUAACUCCUAUGUCAACGUUGCAACGUCGCAAAUCCAAAGAAGGCCACUUUUUUUAAUUCUCCUACGUUGUCCGUGGUGGAUUUCUACCAAAGUGGUGUGCGUACAUAGAUAAAUU